AAUAGAUACCCCGGUAGUCCUAGCCCUAAACGAUGCUCAUUAGAUGUGGGAGGUAUCGACCCCUUCCGCGUCGGCGCUAACGCAUUAAAUGAGCCGCCUGGGGAGUACGGCCGCAAGGUUGAAACUCAAAGGAAUUGACGGGGGCCCGCACAAGCGGUGGAGCAUGUGGUUUAAUUCGACGCAACGCGAAGAACCUUACCUGGGCUUGAACUACUCGUGGUAAGCCGCUGGAAACAGUGGCUGACCCGCAAGGGAGCGAGCAGAGGUGCUGCAUGGUUGUCGUCAGCUCGUGUCGUGAGAUGUUGGGUUAAGUCCCGCAACGAGCGCAACCCUCAUCCUAUGUUGCUAAUCCCGCAAGGGAUGCACUCUUAGGAAACUGCCUUCGAUAAGAAGGAGGAAGGUGGGGACGACGUCAAAUCCUCAUGGCCCUUAUGUCCAGGGCUACACACGUGCUACGAAUGGCCGGUACAACGGGAAGCGAAUACCGCAAGGUGGAAGCAAAACCCUUAAAGCCGGCCCCAGUUCAGAUCGUGGGCUGCAACUCCG
rnacentral:rRNA from 1 species